AGAGUUUGAUCAUGGCUCAGAUUGAACGCUGGCGGCAGGCCUAACACAUGCAAGUCGAACGGUAGCACAGAGAGCUUGCUCUUGGGUGACGAGUGGCGGACGGGUGAGUAAUGUCUGGGAAACUGCCUGAUGGAGGGGGAUAACUACUGGAAACGGUAGCUAAUACCGCAUAACGUCUUCGGACCAAAGUGGGGGACCUUCGGGCCUCACACCAUCGGAUGUGCCCAGAUGGGAUUAGCUAGUAGGUGGGGUAAUGGCUCACCUAGGCGACGAUCCCUAGCUGGUCUGAGAGGAUGACCAGCCACACUGGAACUGAGACACGGUCCAGACUCCUACGGGAGGCAGCAGUGGGGAAUAUUGCACAAUGGGCGCAAGCCUGAUGCAGCCAUGCCGCGUGUAUGAAGAAGGCCUUCGGGUUGUAAAGUACUUUCAGCGGGGAGGAAGGCGAUAAGGUUAAUAACCUUGUCGAUUGACGUUACCCGCAGAAGAAGCACCGGCUAACUCCGUGCCAGCAGCCGCGGUAAUACGGAGGGUGCAAGCGUUAAUCGGAAUUACUGGGCGUAAAGCGCACGCAGGCGGUCUGUCAAGUCAGAUGUGAAAUCCCCGGGCUUAACCUGGGAACUGCAUUUGAAACUGGCAGGCU
rnacentral:rRNA from 1 species